AUUGAACUGAAGAGUUUGAUCCUGGCUCAGAUUGAACGCUGGCGGCAUGCCUUACACAUGCAAGUCGAACGGCAGCACGGGCUUCGGCCUGGUGGCGAGUGGCGAACGGGUGAGUAAUACAUCGGAACAUGUCCUGUAGUGGGGGAUAGCCCGGCGAAAGCCGGAUUAAUACCGCAUACGAUCUGAGGAUGAAAGCGGGGGACCUUCGGGCCUCGCGCUAUAGGGUUGGCCGAUGGCUGAUUAGCUAGUUGGUGGGGUAAAGGCCUACCAAGGCGACGAUCAGUAGCUGGUCUGAGAGGACGACCAGCCACACUGGGACUGAGACACGGCCCAGACUCCUACGGGAGGCAGCAGUGGGGAAUUUUGGACAAUGGGCGCAAGCCUGAUCCAGCAAUGCCGCGUGUGUGAAGAAGGCCUUCGGGUUGUAAAGCACUUUUGU
rnacentral:rRNA from 1 species